GAUGAACGCUGGCGGCAUGCUUAACACGUGCAAGUCGAACGGGAAGUGGUGUUUCCAGUGGCGAACGGGUGAGUAACGCGUAAGAACCUGCCCUUGGGAGGGGAACAACAACUGGAAACGGUUGCUAAUACCCCGUAGGCUGAGGAGCAAAAGGAGAAAUCCGCCCAAGGAGGGGCUCGCGUCUGAUUAGCUAGUUGGUGAGGUAAUAGCUUACCAAGGCGAUGAUCAGUAGCUGGUCCGAGAGGAUGAUCAGCCACACUGGGACUGAGACACGGCCCAGACUCCUACGGGAGGCAGCAGUGGGGAAUUUUCCGCAAUGGGCGAAAGCCUGACGGAGCAAUGCCGCGUGGAGGUGGAAGGCCUACGGGUCGUCAACUUCUUUUCUCGGAGAAGAAACAAUGACGGUAUCUGAGGAAUAAGCAUCGGCUAACUCUGUG
rnacentral:rRNA from 1 species